UAACCUCUAGGCCAGUGCAUUGCAGGCAACACAAGGCACUUCCUUAAGUGAUCCAGUUCUGCCUGGAGUCGCUCCCUCUCGGAAACAAUCUUCUGUUUCUGGCUCCUCAACUCCUGGAGAGAGAGAUUGAUUCAGGAGUGGCUUCAAACUUGCAAGGGUCAAGGACAAGUCCCUGCUCUUCUAUGAAGCGUUUUGAGAAUGGAGACCCGGGAGAGCCAGCGGACAGCCUACAGAAGGGACAGCGCAAGGAGGGGCACUAAAAGCCGCCUCCUGCCCCCUCAGCACACAGGCUGAAGUUGUUAAAAGCGCUAACGAACGCAGCCCUGAACGAGCAACAUCGGAAAACACGGAAGCUGAACUCUCCACCGGAAACACGAACUCUGACAAGCCCUCUGCGGCCAACUCGGCAGGAAUGAGGACCUCUAUUUUGUCCCCAAGGUUCAUAAACCAGAGAAGCAGCUCUCUGUCACUGCCACUCUCUGUUCAAGAGCCCAGAGCUCAAGGAGAGAACUAAACUAUCACAGAAGGUCUGACCAGCUAGGACUACCUGAGGAAUAAGGGACAACAAAAACUGAAAAACGCACCUGGUACCUAAGUAAGUCUAAUAAAAAAGGCCCCCGCUCACGGCAAAAAACCAGCAAAAGUUACUUAAUGCAAUUGAAUGCCAGAUUCACGGAAUAGCAUCAUCAUCAAAAAGAUCCAUUCUCCCCAAAUCUGUAAAUUCAACACAACUGAAAAUUUGCAUAGGGAUUUUCUGGGUGGCGCAAACGAGGCGGCGAUCUUGAAAUCCCUGGGAGAAGCCCAAGGGCCAAGAACGGGGGGGCUGUCCGCGAGGUGAGUGCCUGCGGACAGCCGAGAGCAGGGGGCCCACGGGGAGCGGCCAGGAGGAUGCCGAAACCCGCCAGGGAACGGUGAAGUUAAAUGAAUUCCAGGCGUAAGAAAUGCGAAACCUGAAUGUAAAGAAAUGGACAGAAUCAUCACGUCCUUGGGGCAGAGAGGGAUUCCCAAACGAGGCACCGAAAAACCAACCCCGAGAGGCUGGACACGCUUUGCUCCGUCACAAUAAAAAACGCCCUACACUGGCUCUGGAUACCGCACCACUCUCCCAGCCGUGACCGGUGCUCCCCAACUCCGAUCCAGCCAGGAGGGGGAGCACAGGGAGCCGCAGCACUGCAGCCUUGGAGGUCAUGGGAGUCCUCUUGAGGAAACCGAGGGGCAGGGAAAGGAGGCGGUACGCCAGGAGAGCGCCCAAGCCCCGUGCCCCCGUGCCCCACGAGGGCGACGAGCCUGCGGGGGACCCGCCAGCAGCCUCGAGGCACUCGGCUGAGUUAACACACAUUCUGUUUUCAGGCCCCGCGUGUGCGGCCACAGUCAGGGCCGAUGGGACAUUUCUAAGUAUGGCGGCAGACGGCACAGAAAGCACGGCCCACGUGUGGGCCGUCACGCUGGGCGGGGACGAGCGGUACUUAAACUUGUCCAGUGACAGGGGCCUCAUGUCUGGAAGCUGGGGCGCCUGCAGAAGCCUGACAACAGUUCUUGAAACAGGCAGAGUGGCUGAGGACGGUCCCCGAGCGCCAGCGUCGCCACGCACAAACCGUCCCCAGGGCUAGCAGUGAGGUCCGACAGGGACGGGGCGGUCCAGUAAGCAUGCUGUCACCUCCCCGCGGCCCUGCGCCCACUCCCAUACCUUCUAGGUGUUCCUGGUAAGCUUCAAAAAUGGCCUCAAUCCCUUGCCACUUGCGCCUGGGGGGCUCGUCGUCGUCCUCCUCCCCGUCUUCGUCGUCAUCCUCCGAGGCCUGGUCCACUUCCUGCGUGAGGGGGCCCUUCCUCCCGGCGGGGGCCUCCUGCUGCCCGUUGUGCGGGGGCCCAGGGAGCCGGCUGGACGACUGCAGCUCGGGAAUGUUGUAGUGGAUGGACGUGUCCAUUUUGUGGUUCUGCUCCGCGGACAGCACGGCCACGUUCCCUGCGGGGGGAGAACGGACCGGUCACAGGCCCCCGUCCUUCAGAGAUCAAAGACGGCGCUCCACGGCCAGGUCGCAGAGCCACAGAGACCGCGACAGCCCUGCACUGAGUCCCAACGAGGGCGUGAGCUCUGCCACGCCAAGCCCCGAGUGUCAGUGUCCUGUGCCAGGAAAGGGGGCCUGACGUAGGUGUGCAGCCCGCCCCGGGGUCCCGCAGUCCCCCCCCAGUCACAUCCAGCGUCAGCUGCUAUCGGGACCCGUUUACAGGAGGCGUGCGCUGCCUCGAACCACGGCCCGGCGGGGCGUGUUCUAACGCGGGCACACCGCCUCCAGUGUAGACAGCAGCCUCUGCGGGCCUCUGGGAUGCGCUCGGUGGACUUGUCCGAGCAAAUGGGGCACCCGGGUGGCUCGGUCGGGUAAGUGACUGGACUUCGGCUGGCCGUCUGUGAGACCGGGCCUCACACUGGGCUCUGCGCUGCUCAGGACUCUCUCUCUGCCCCUCACCCGCUCAAAGCACGUGCCCUGCUCUGCUCUCAAAAUAAACAAACUUAAAAAACAAACUCCUGAGGAAACGUGGGUCCUAGGGCCCCAGGAAAGCCUCUGUGAGGUGUGUCUGGGAAGGGCACGGGGCCUUUCCCCGAGCCAGCUCGUCCAAACACGCUCUCCUUGCAAAGGAGAAUUCUUCGCAGCAAAUUCACGACACGCAUCCACCGAAGCACUCCCAAUUCUCACUGCGAAAACGGCCAUCCUUCGCCUUUGGGUAUCCUGGCAUCGCCGAUGCCAGCGGUUAACUCGGCUGGCGCCGACCCGGCACCCGACCUGAGCCCACAGACACGUCCUCUAUCCAGCUCCCAGGGCUGGCAGGGACAGACACGCUUGGGCCUCAUAACCCAGUUAUUUUUUCUGGCUGUUGGGGUACACGCAAGUUUCUCUUAAAGUCCGUAGUCCUUUAAUCCCCGGGGAUUCUUUCCUAAUCAGUUUCAACCUCUGACUCCGUGAGAACCAGCUGUCGGGACCCCUGUUCUCCCACCAAAUCGUCUGAGGGCAGUGAACGUGGGGGCUCCGGUGUUACAAAACGCUCUCUGGGGUCGCUGGAGCAAACACCUGCUGGGUCUAGUCAUCAAAGGGCGGGGAGAUUCCCAGGCGAGUCUGUGUGGCAACGGCGCAAAGUCACCGAGCUACAGAAGGACCGGAUCCUAUCCGUGCGGGGGAGGCCCCUCACCUGGCCUAACUGAAAGGAAGUGCCUCUACCUCAACUCAGACGGCGUCACUUGCUAACUUUUCCUGGAGGGCGGUCGGUAGACCGGGGGCACCAGCAUCACCCGGGCUCCCGCCGGCACCGGAGAAUUCUCGGCCCCGCCCCAGGGGCCCCGUGCGCGCCGAGCUUAAGGGGCGAGCCCCAGCUGCCGCAGUGACGCGGGAGCAGGGCCGGGCCGGGCCGCCUCCUUACCUUUGUGCUUCUGCAGGGCCUUCUGGGUGGACUGCAGCACAGACUCGUGGAACUGAUGUGCAAACUCCUCCGCCACGAAGGGCUCCCACGGCUUGCUCUUCCCGUUGAUGCUGUGGGACAGCGGCACGGGAAUGUCCUUGGGCGCGGGGCCCCGGAUGUAAUGGAGCAUGCUCACGCCCUUCUUGCCCCCGGGGGCCUCGCUCAGCCUGGCCUUCUCGCCGCCGGCAGGAGCGGGCUCCUGGGGCCGCAGCUGCUCCAGUCUCCCAGGCUCCGUGGCCUUUGGGACGUCAGCCAGGGAAGCAGCGACACCCACAGGCUUCUCCGCAUCCAGAGAGGUUGGCUGCGUGGCUGGUUCUUUUAGAGACAGAAAGCGAGGGAGAUGUUAAGAGCGCCAAGCCAACAGGCCGACCCUGACCUCCAGAGCUCACGUUUAAGAAAGACCUAGCACAAAGGACAGAGACCCGGGGGACCGUGUAAUGAAACGUCCUCGUGAGCGCGCGCGGUUGGAAGGUGGGGCUGCGUUCAGCGGCAAGUCGGUCCUUGAGAGGCGCCCCAGGAAGGCAUCUGGGAAGAGAGAGCAUCUGAAGGAAGAAGCAAGGGGCUACCAAGAGGCAGAAGUCACGAGGCCCAACCCGACAAGAAAGACCACGUUAGGAUUUGAGAGCAGGGCCGGACCAAAAACAUUUCCUGCUCCACUCGGCAGCGUAGCAUGAGAGAGAGAGAGAGAGGGAGAGGGAGAGGAGGAGGUGUGAAAGCAGGUGUCGGAGAGGCCUGAGGGCAGAACAAGCGAGACACAAGCUCAAGAGCAGCGCGAACGCAGGGCCCGCAGGGCCGCAGCAGGGCCGAAGCAGCAGGUGCUGAAACACGGGGCCUGGGGCUCCCGAGGCCCUGGCGGUGACGGCCGUGGCCUGCCCCGAACCGCCGCACACAGCCCCGCCACACAGCCCUGCGGAAGCCGGGACCCGCCCCCGGGGCUCCCAGCUCUGACUUCGCGCUCUCCUGCUCCGUCCAGAGAACAGCCUUCCCGAUGGCGCAGGAAGCUUGUGCGAGAGAGAGCGAGCGAGGGGGAGGGAGCGAGAGAGACCGAGAGACACCCUUUCCAGGAGGAAAAGAUUCGUGAUGAAGAAGAGACCCUGAGCGGCCGCCUCUGACCUCGGGCAGCCCGUGGGACAGUCCCAGGCGGGGGCGGAAGGGGCUGUCCUUCCCGCCCCGGGCCUUACCGCUCAGGGAGAUAGCAGGACUGUCCCUCGGAGAGUUCCUGAGCGGGUCCGCCACCACCACGGACAGUGCCUUCUGCUUCAUGGCAUGGAGCAUUUCAACAAGUUUCUCUUUGUCUAUGAGAAAAGCAGCCCGAGAUUAACACCACGGUCGUAGCUCCUCCGAGGGGAGAGGGGAGCAGGCGUCCAGCCCAGGCCGUGCCCGGCAGCCGCGGGUUCUCUAAACCAGGAGCAAAGCAAGCACCGAGGGACAGGCUGUGUUUAAGGAAAGAAACCUUCGGUUGAGGGUGAGCCCAGAUUCCGCUCAGCUUCUGCAGAGCAUUAGAGAUGCAUUCCAAAGAUCGCUGUGUGUGUAACAGCAAAGUAACGGGUUCCUAUGACCUUCUGAGAGGACUUCCGAGGAUGUGUUCUUACUUCAAAGACAAAAAAAAAAAAAAAAAAAAAAAAUUCCCAACACAGAAGAACCACCCCGAAGAUCCGCCCAGCACCCCGGAAGUACAGGCUGCUUCGGGCGCGUCCUCCGCGGCCCAGGACGCUUGCCAUCUACUGAGACGGAACCAGAGCCUGUGAUGUCUGCCACUGCGAGCUCUUGCUGCAGGGGCAUUUGUCCCUGACGAAGUGGCUGCAUCACCGGUGGCUCCCUCUAGGACUCAGGUCAGGCAAAAAGAUGCUCUUUUACAAACAGAACUGUGGCUGUUCCCAGGGACCGGUCCUGGUGCCCACCAUGUCACUGUCUCUUGAAGAGAAAGCAAGACCCCCCCAGUUUACUGGUUAAGAACGAAAAGGAAAUCGCCGCACGCCAACUACAUGCACCGGGAAGCAGGUCCGCUUUCCUUCCGACUUCUUUCCAGAGAGAAGUGACCACCUGGGGUCAGCGAGGAGGGCUUGGAAGCGUGCACACGAGCU